GGUUAAGGCAUUUUUCCAGAAUGAAAACCUGAAGGCUUUAUUCCUUCACGAUAAAGAAUGAGGCAGAAAUGAUUCCAGCACCUGGCAAAGCAAAGCAGGUGACUCUCAGGGCUUCGGCAGAGAAAUCUCGAGCACAGAUUCCCCAAUUUCAGCUCAUUCCAUGAUUCUUUCAUCACAAUUGGAGACGCUCCAGCUCUGCCCAGCAGCUCCUGUAGCUCAGCAAAACGAUCACGACAGCACGCCAGCAAUCCUGACAUAAUAAGAAGGACACAUUAAUCUCACAGCUGGGCAUAACGAGCGGUAGCCAAAACUGCACAUGGGGAAACCAAAGGAGUGAUUCACCGUUAUGGGUCGCGUUGUUCAAGGCAGCCCAGGGUACCAGACCCCUAAAGAGCACCAGUGGUUUGGAGCACACUGUGGUUAAUGAGGUGCCACCAGUUGAAGCAAGUGGCGAUGGGAUGUGCAGCAUCCCAGCUGUACCUCUACUUAACCAAAGGACCCUAAGAGUGGCUUCAUUCAAACCCUCGAAGCAAACCCAUAUAUCUCCAUGCUCUGAGGCAGAGGUAGUCACCACAUGCGUGGAUGAAGGCACUUAAUUUCCCUGGGAGUCACUACGUGUUCAAGACGUGUAUCGAUUUCCGUACCGCGCUUGUAAGUUAUGAGUGAUUUCUUUUGUAAGUGUCAGGUGAGAGACAUGAAUGGAGACCUAAUUAAAGUGUAUACAAAGUACAUGCAGUAAAUCUCUUUGGCAAUGUCAACCUGCUUUAAAGCGGCCCGGGAGAGCAAACAAGAUGGCAUAAAUGGAAGAUAAAGAAAUACUAAUAGGCUGUGACGUUCCCAGAGCAGCAGCUUAGCUGGUGAGCUGCUAACACAAAGUGGCUGGGGGUACCAGGGAGAAGAAGUGCAAUUCCCAGGGCACGUUCUGGCCCUACAACACGAAACAAUGGGAAUUUUGCUGUUAACUUAAAUAACAGCCCUAUGUUUCUUGCCUGUAUUGUAGCCAUUAUUUCAUAACUGUUUAAAAUUAAAGCUAUCUCUCCAUCAGUGAUCCAU
rnacentral:lncRNA from 1 species